ACGUCCUUUAAUUAGGGUACAUAAAAGACGCCUCUUGUAAGCCACGUGUCAGGGCGAUAGCAGUUUUGUAGCUUCUUCAAUGGCGUCUUCUUCAACUACUCUCAUCUCCUCCUCCGGGUUCUUCUCCCAGCCAAGUCUUCGCUUCCAUCUCUCUCCCUCUCUUUCCUUCCAACUCUCUCCUCUCCUUCCGCACUUGCUUCUCUCCGGUUUGCUCGACCCUCUUCCCUCACCUCAAUCCGCUCCACUUCUCGCCGAAGCUUCGCCAGACCGAGCAUCAUGUCAAGACAUGCGAUGGUUUAGUUUCAGUUGUAGUCUAUGGAGACCAAGAGAAGCCAGCAUUGAUCACUUACCCAAAUGUAGCAUUAAAUUACUUGUCUUGCUUCCAAGGACUGUUUCUCUGCCCUGAAGCAGUGUCUUUGCUCCUCCAUAACUUCUGCAUCUACCAUAUUAGUCCCCCUGGACAUGAGGUUUGCAGAUAAAACAUAAAGAUAGAGUUUUGGGUCUGAUUCUGAUAUCGCCUCUAUACAAAGCAUCCUCAUGGUCUGAAUGGUUUUAUUACAAGGUCAAGACAGAGUCAAAGAAUGGAGCAUUGGGAGUUUUCUUGUGUCACGGAGUGGAGGAAGUCUUGUAGUUUUCUGUCUUGUUGUCUUGUAGCAUUGGGAGUAAGCUAGUAGUUUUCUGUCGUGGAGGAAGUCUUGUAGUUUUCAGUCAUGUUUGAUCACACAUAUAUUCUCUCAUCCUCAACCAACCAAGAUGUAGAUAUGUUUUUCAUAAAAUGUUUAAUUUUUUUUAAGAACUCUUAAUUAAGAGAGUUGCAUUGGAGAUAGUAAAUAUUAAAAUCUCUUAGCUAUA